AAAGUCGAACGAUGAAGCCCAGCUUGCUGGGCGGAUUAGUGGCGAACGGGUGAGUAAUACGUGAGUAACCUGCCUUUAACUCUGGGAUAAGCCUUGGAAACGGGGUCUAAUACCGGAUACGACCAACCCUCGCAUGGGGUGUUGGUGGAAAGGGAUUUUGUACUGGUUUUAGAUGGGCUCACGGCCUAUCAGCUUGUUGGUGAGGUAACGGCUCACCAAGGCGACGACGGGUAGCCGGCCUGAGAGGGUGACCGGCCACACUGGGACUGAGACACGGCCCAGACUCCUACGGGAGGCAGCAGUGGGGAAUAUUGCACAAUGGGCGCAAGCCUGAUGCAGCGACGCCGCGUGAGGGAUGACGGCCUUCGGGUUGUAAACCUCUUUCAGCAGGGGAGAAGCGAAAGUGACGGUACCUGCAGAAGAAGCGCCGGCUAACUACGUGCCAGCAGCCGCGGUAAUACGUAGGGCGCGAGCGUUGUCCGGAAUUAUUGGGCGUAAAGAGCUUGUAGGCGGUUUGUCGCGUCUGCUGUGAAAGCCCGGGGCUUAACCCCGGGUUUGCAGUGGGUACGGGCAGACUAGAGUGCAGUAGGGGAGACUGGAAUUCCUGGUGUAGCGGUGAAAUGCGCAGAUAUCAGGAGGAACACCAAUGGCGAAGGCAGGUCUCUGGGCUGUAACUGACGCUGAGAAGCGAAAGCAUGGGGAGCAAACAGGAUUAGAUACCCUGGUAGUCCAUGCCGUAAACGUUGGGCACUAGGUGUGGGGAACAUUCCACGUUUUCCGCGCCGUAGCUAACGCAUUAAGUGCCCCGCCUGGGGAGUACGGCCGCAAGGCUAAACUCAAAGAAUUGACGGGGGCCCGCACAGCGGCGGAGCAUGCGGAUAAUUCGAUGCACGCGAAAA
rnacentral:rRNA from 1 species